UACGUAGGGUGCGAGCGUUGUCCGGAAUUACUGGGCGUAAAGCGCUCGUAGGUGGUUUGUCGCGUUGUUCGUGAAAUGCCACAGCUUAACUGUGGGCGUGCGGGCGAUACGGGCAGACUGGAGUACUGCAGGGGAGACUGGAAUUCCUGGUGUAGCGGUGGAAUGCGCAGAUAUCAGGAGGAACACCGGUGGCGAAGGCGGGUCUCUGGGCAGUAACUGACGCUGAGGAGCGAAAGCGUGGGGAGCGAACAGG
rnacentral:rRNA from 1 species